UCGGGAAUUUUGGGCAAUGGGCGAAAGCCUGACCCAGCAACGCCGCGUGAAGGAUGAAGUAUUUCGGUAUGUAAACUUCGAAAGAAUAGGAAGAAUAAAUGACGGUACUAUUUAUAAGGUCCGGCUAACUACGUGCCAGCAGCCGCGGUAAUACGUAGGGACCAAGCGUUGUUCGGAUUUACUGGGCGUAAAGGGCGCGUAGGCGGCAAUUCAAGUCAUCUGUGAAAUCUCUGGGCUUAACCCAGAACGGCCAAGUGAUACUGUCGCGCUAGAGUGCAGAAGGGGCAAUCGGAAUUCUUGGUGUAGCGGUGAAAUGCGUAGAUAUCAAGAGGAACACCUGAGGUGAAGACGGGUUGCUGGGCUGACACUGACGCUGAGGCGCGAAAGCCAGGGGAGCAAACGGGAUUAGAUACCCUGGUAGUCCCUG
rnacentral:rRNA from 1 species